UGUGUGACUACCUUAACAUGCGGUGGUAAAGAGAGAAAAAAGAAGGCAUGCUAAUGUAAUAUGAUACGGAGGAUAUAUAAAUGAUUAUACUAUUUACAAACAUCAUCCCGGAGCACCCCUGUGAUUCCGGUAUGAUACGUACUGAACUACGUUUCCAACAACCAUAUACAAAUCAAGUAUAUAACAUCCCCGCCCCGAAAGAAAAAGAAAUUCAUAAAAUUUCGUGAUGGUUGUUGGUAAACGUAGGUCAGAGAAUAUAAAACUAAAAUAAGACAACAAACAUUAUAGUCGACCAUAAUCAAAAUGAUAAUUAAAAAAAAUAUAUAUGCAAGUUUCUCACUAAACUUCAACAUGUUCAAGCUAUCAAAUCUCUGACGCCGAC
rnacentral:lncRNA from 1 species